GCUGGGCGUGGUGGCUCAUGCCUGUAAUUCCAGCACUUCGGGAGGCUGAGAUGGGAGGAUUGCUUGAGCCCAGCAGUUCGAGGCUGCAGUGAGACUUGAUAAUGCCACUGCACUCCAGCCUGGGUGACAGAGUGAGACCCCAUCUCUU
rnacentral:ncRNA from 4 species